CUAACCGAUCACUUCGGAAGGUCCGACCAGGAUGAGCCGCGGUUCAGAUCUGUCCCGAACUGUCACCUAUCGAGGCCGAGCAUAUCACGGCCAUAGAGUGGCUGGUUUUCGAUGAGAUUAAAGUGUUUGCAGUUGGGACCUCUCGAGGGUUCAUCUUGGUUUACUCUUUGCGUGGUGAUUUGAUUCAUAGACAGCUGCUUUUAUUGUUGGGCAGUCAUGUCAACGCUACUAUUGUGCAGUCACCAUUGGAGAUGAUGCUGUGAUUUCAGCUUUCAGACUUUCAGAAGAUAGGAACAGUUCCUUGGUAGGAGCUAUUUUGUCAAAAGUUGUGCCUGCAACAUUUUCCACAAUUGCUUCUUUUUCUAAAAUGAUAUGGCGGAGUGAAAAAAUGCCAACGAGGAAGUCAGAAGAGAAGCCUCAAUCAUUUGCUCGAGUUAAUUUUGGUGAGAAGUCAUGGAGAAUGGUAAGUUUAUGUUUAUGUUCUCCAACAUAAACUUAUGAUCUCAAUGGCAAGUUUAUGUUCUCAAACCUGACGCCAGAACAGGGUCUAGGAAGAAAACAUGGCGGCUUGAGAUGUCUGCGGGAAGCUUCCCAUAAACUAGCUGCAGCAAUGGAGUAGCUAAAAUGAGAAAAGUGUGCGGCAUAUGUGAAAGACACGUGAUCUGAUUAGUAAAGAAGAUGGACACGUGUGACAGUAACUUUAACUCUCUUUACAACAAGAGGAUUUUUACUUUUACUGUUUUUAUCUGUAGUUAAAGAGUUGAUGGUUAGUUAGAAAACUAACUGCACCAAGCUUUCCCUCUCUUCAUGACAGACUAAACAUAGCCUCCGCAUAUGCUGCUUUAGCUCUGGAAUUUUCAGUAAGAGUGAAUAAGAAAUUUUCCCUUUCACACAAACUUUGCUCUCGAUUCUUCUGCAUCUUUCAACAUGGUAUAAGAGCGGACAGUAUGAAAUGGGACUCUGGAUUGCAGAACUUCUUCCAAUCAUAGUUGAGGUUUUGCAAUUGAAUUCUUAUACUCUUCUUUUCUUGUUAUAUGUUUUUUAUUUCUUCUUCAUUCGUCAGUAGAUUGUGCAUUUGGAUCUAUAGAUCAGUCUUGCUUCUGAAUUGUUCUUUCUGGAACAUUUGUUUUCUGAUUCUUCUCUUGAAAUUUUAGUUGAUUGUUACUGGAUUGUUGAUUGA